rnacentral:tRNA from 1 species
GCCUGGGUGGCUGAGUCAGUUAAGCAUCUGACUUUGGCUCAGAUCAUGAUUUCACGGUUCAUGGUUUCAAGCCCCGUGUUGGGCU